rnacentral:rRNA from 1 species
AUGAAUGCUGGCGGCGUGGAUAAGGCAUGCAAGUCAAGGGGGCCGAAAGGCAACCGGCAGACGAGGUAGUAAUAUACAGGGUACGCACCGAAGAGUCGGGCAUAGCUAUUCGAAAGAGUAGGUAAUUCCCGAUGGUCUCUUAGGAGUAAAGAUUUUUCGCUCUUUGAGCGGCCUGUACUGCCAUCAGCUAGUUGGUAAGGUAACGGCUUACCAAGGCUAUGACGCAUAGGGGAGCUGAGAGGCUGACCCCCACCGAUAGCACUGAGACACGGGCCUAUACACCUACGGGUGGCUGCAGUCGAGAAUCUUCCGCAAUGGGCGAAAGCCUGACGGAGCGACGCCGCGUGGUUGAUGAAGUCCUUCGGGACGUAAAACCUUUUAUGGGGGAGGAAGUUAUUGACGUUACCCCAUGAAUAAGAGGCUCCUAACUCUGUGCCAGCAGGAGCAGUAAUACAGAGGCCUCAAGCAUUAUCCGGAAUCACUGGGCGUAAAGGGUGUGUAGGCGGUUUAGUUAGUCUUUCGUAAAAGCCCGCAGGCUUAACCUGUGGAAUGCGGGGGAAACGGCUAGACUGAGAGGACGCGAGAGGUAAGGGGAACUCAUGGUGUAGGGGUGAAAUCCGUUGAUAUCAUGGGGAACACCAAAUGCGAAGGCACCUUACUGGCGCGCUCCUGACGCUGAAACACGAAAGCGGGGAAUCGAACGGGAUUAGAUACCCCGGUAGUCCACGCCCUAAACGAUCACAACUGGCUUUAAGGAGUAUCGACCCUCUUUGAGGCGAAGCUAACGCGUUAAGUUGUGCCGCCUGGGUAGUACGAUCGCAAGAUUAAAACUCAAAGGAAUAGACGGGGACUUGCACAAGCGGUGGAUCAUGCGGCUCAAUUCGAUGACAAACGAAGAACCUCACCAGGGUCUGAAACCCAGACGAAAUCCUUAGGAAACUUUGGACCUCGCAAGACGGCUGGGCAGGUGAUGCAUGGUCGUCGUCAGUUCGUGGCUUGAGUUGUUCCCUUCAGUGGGGUAACGAACGCAACCCGCGUUGCCUGUUUUAUAUGUCAGGCGAGGACUCUGCCACUGCGUCACGAGGGAGGAAGGUGCGGAUGACGCCAGAUCAGCAUGUCCCUCUGAUAUCCUGGGCUGCACGCAUGAUACAAUGCACUCGACAACGAGACGCAAUGGGGUAACCCGGAGCAAUCUUUAAACGAGUGCCCAGUUCGGAUUGAGGUCUGCAACUCGACCUCAUGAAGCCGGAAUCGCUAGUAAUCGCGGGUCAGCUAUACCGCGGUGAAUACGUUCUCAAGGUCUUGUACUCACCGCCCGUCAACUCAAGGGAGCCGGGAAUACCCGAAGCACAUCCUCGGAUGUACCACGGUAAGUUCGGUGACAGGGAGU